UUGGUAACGAAAAACGUCACUUCAAAAAAUCAACAUAACCUCACUCUUUUUCGCGUCGUUUUUUCGUCAAUUUGAACCAAUUCAUGCAAAAAAGGAGUAAAAAUGCAUGAAGAUCCUUCAAAAAAUUCGAUUGUGGGGACGCUGAGUCGUUUUGGAGGAUCCGAAACGCUAAUUUCGUCAGGAAUUCCUUCGUUGGAUGAACUUUUAGGGGACGGAAUUCCUGUUGGAUCCUUAGUAAUAAUCGAGGAAGAUUCUCAAGGACUUUACGCAAGAAUUGUACUCAAAUACUUCUUAGCUGAAGGCGUGGUGAAUAAACACAGUAUUUUCGUGGCUAGCCAAGAAAUCUCAUCAGAAAAAUUGAUUCACCAAUUACCACAACUCAUCGAAUCGAAACCGAAAAAUGUCGAAGAACCGAAUGUAGAACGGCCCAAAAUGAAAAUAGCGUUCCGUUACGAUAACCUUCCUACAGAACAAAAAGAACCGGAACAAAAAUUUGGUCAUUACUACGAUUUAUCAUCGGUGAUGUCGCAAAAUUAUCUCGACGAUUGCAAAAUCACCACUUGGGAUGAUACGAAAACGUUAAAAUCGAAUUCGUUUUAUAACCAAAAAUAUUACGAGUUAUUAACAUCGAUUAAAAACGAUUUGAAAUCGCACAAUGAGAAUAAUAUCCUUCGAAUUGGAAUCCAUGCGUUGGGGUCCCCCGUUUGGCAUUUAUUAGACGAAAUUAAUGAAGAAAAAGCGUUGAAAGAUUUAACCCUUUUUUUGUACGCGUUUCGGAUGAUGAUUCAAACCAAGAAAGCUGUGGGUUAUGUUACAAUUCCAGCUCAUUUAUUUGAGAAGGUGGAUCGAUUGUUGCAUUUAAGCGAUAUUUAUAUCCGGCUCCAAGCGUUCGCAGGAACCGAAUUCGCCGAUAACAAAUAUCUCUCCGAUUUUCAAGGCUUCAUCCACAUCGAUAAAUUAACCCCAAAGAACGGGUUUAAUUCGAAGAUUUCGAGCACGAUCGAGCACGUCUUUAAAUUGAGGAGGAAGAAAUUUACGAUUGAAAUGUUACAUCUUCCACCAGAUUUGGACGCGACGGAAGUUUCGGGAUUGGGAUGCGCAACGGGGAGUUCUAAAUUGGAUUUUUAAUCACCAAGUAAUUUUGGGGACAAUCUGCAUUGAAGGAAAACGAGAUUAAAAAGUAAGACGAUUUCUUUGCGAUGCAUAAUAGGAUUAAGAAGAAGACAUAAUCGAAGAAAAACCCGGUUUUGCUACAUCCCAUAGAAAUUUGGAAUGCAAUAAACAAUUUUUUUUUGUAAAAUUAAUCCAUAUUUAAUAUAAAUUAUUAUUAAUCUUA
rnacentral:misc_RNA from 1 species